rnacentral:lncRNA from 1 species
AGAAACAAAAAGAUGAAAAGAAAAACAGAGCAUAACGUGAGAGAUAGAGAGAAAAGUAAGGAAAAACAAUAAGGAAAUUGAGAGAAUAACUUUAUAAACUUGCAAGUUAAACCUAUAAAACACUAAAUCAAGUGAAGGAAGGAGGAUUUGAGAAGGGGAAUUCAGCUAACCUUGGAAGAGAAGAGAAAUUGGAAGAAAAGCAAUAGGUAAGCAUGAGAAGUUUGGAUUUAAUGUUGAUUUAGAUGUUUUCCUAAGCUUAUUUGAUUAAGUUAGGAAGUAAUUUCAUGGAACUUUACCUUAGUUUCCCUUAAAUCCUAGAUUUUUGAACUUAGGGUUCUUAUGUGAAUUUGGGGGAAUUAGGAGGGGAAGGGAAAAUGAUGAAAUUGAAGAGGAAUAGAAUGAAAACAAGUUGAAAUAACAAGUAAAUGAAGAAAGAUUUGGGGGAGGAAAAAGAAACAUCACAUUCGGCCAAUGAAGGAAAAAAAAAAAAUGGGAGAAUGAGUUUUGAUGUUAAUGUUUAGAAAAAAACCAUGUUUAAUCAUGAUAAAUGAAAAUGUAAGAAAGACUAAAUGAAGAGAUAGCAUUUAAGUUGAGAAAAUAAUAAUAAUAAUAAUAUGUAAAUUCAAAUUAAAAGAGAAAUAAACUAGUUAAAAGAAAAUAUGAAGACAAGAUGCCUAGAUUGUGUUUGAAUAUAGUAUUUAAAUAAAAUAAAUAAUAUGAUGUGAGGGUAUAAAGAAUAGAAGAAUUAUUCGAUGGAGGAAUUAUGAACAUAGAGAAAACAAAGAAGUAACUUGAGUUAAAUAUGAGGUUGUAUGUAAAAUAAUGAUGUUAUAUUUGAGAAUGAAUUUUUAUUAGAACAAAUUACUAAUAAAAAUAUUAUGUGCUUUAUGUUUCGGCACAUAAGAAAAAAAUAUUGAUGGACUAAUGAUAUAAUGACACUUGAUUGAUUCAGGAGCUGUGUCUGGAGCUGGUUAUCAGACAGGAGGAGCUGGGUCAUCCCGAACAGAAGGUAGGUGAAUUCGUCACCUCAUUUUGUAAUUUUUAGUUUUCCUAAUUAUCUAUGUUGCUUAUUUAAUUGAUAUUAAAUGAAUGGAGCAAAUGAAUAAUUUGAGUUAUGAUUAUGUGAAAUUACCGGUUUUAUUGGUUAACAAAGAGGUUAACCGGAUAUGGGGUAAUUCGUAUGGAAUUACCGGAUUGUUUGACUAAUACAAGAGAUUAGUCGGAUGCUAGGUAAUUCGAAUGGAAUUACCGGAUUGAUUGGCUAACAAAAGAGAUUAGCCGGAUACUGGGUGAUUCAUAUGGAAUUACCGGAUUGAUUUUGCUAACCGAAAUGGGUUAGUCGGAUUUUUGGGUAAUAAAGAGAAUUACCGGGUUUAUUGGUUAACAAAGAGGUUAACUGGAUAAGGAGUAAUUCAUAUGGAAUUACCGGAUUGAUUGGCUAACAAAAGAGGUUAGCUGGAUGAUAGGUAAUUCGAAUGGAAUUACUGGGUCUAUUGGUAACCGAGGAAGGAAAAAAAUGAAUUUUGGGUAUCUAUAUGGAAGUGUUAGAUGUAUUUGGUAAGUUAGAUUGAAGUGGAAGUACUAAAUUUCAAAGGUUAAGAGUAAUUAUUUAAUAUUAGAUUAAUAUAAUGAUAAAGUUAAUUAAUAUGGUUGUUGUUGAAACAGGUAUGCCACGAGGUGAUGCAGAUCGUUAGAUGUAGGAAUUCUCCUGUUUAUGAAUUACCAUUUUGGAAUGUAAUAUCAUGUCUUUACUUUCAAUGUAAAUCCUUUUGUGAUGCAAA